UUGGGUUAUAGUUAGAAAAGGGCGCAACGGUGGAUCCUUGAACACCUAGGCGUCGAAUGAAUGACGGGAACUAACGCCGAUAUGCUUCGGGGAGCUGUAGUAAGCUUAUCCGAAGAUUUCCGAAUGGGGAAACCCACCAUACGUAAUGGUAUGGUAUCCUUAUCUGACAUACAAUAGGGUAAGGAAGACAGACCCAGGGAAUGAAACAUUCUAAGUACCUGGAGGACAGAAGAAAAGCAAAUGCGAUCCUGAGUAACGGGCGAGUCGAAACGGAACAUAGCCCCAAACCAAGAGGCUUUGCCUGGGUUGUAGGAUUCUAUACCGGAGUUACAAAGGAACGAGGUAGACGAAGCGACCCUGGAAAAGGUCCGUCGGUAGCAAGGUAACAACCCCGUAGUCGAAACUUCCGUUUCUCUUGAAUGUAUCCUGAGUAAGGCGGAACACGUGAAAUUCCGUCGGAAUCUGGGAGGAUCCAUCUCAAGGCUAAUACUCCCUAGUGUCGUAGUGAACCAGUACGUGAGGAAAGGUGAAAAGCACCCGGAAGGGGACGUGAAAGAGACUCCCUGAACCUGUGGUGCCUACAAUAGUCAGAAGCCCGUUAACGGGUGAUGGCGUGCCUUUUGUAGAAUGAACCGGCGAGUUCACGAUCCCGUGCGAGUUAACUGAAAGCGGACGCAGCGAUUUAAGCGAGUCUGCAUAGCGUUUAGUACGUGUCGUAGACCCGAAACCAGGUGAUCUACCCAUGCCAGGGUGAAGUUCAGUGUAACCUGAAUGGAGCGACGACCCAGCAGUUGAAAAAAGUGCGGGGAUGAGGUGUGGGUAGGCGGAGAAGAUUCCAAUCGAACCUGGAGAUUAGCUGGUUCUCUCCCGAAAAAGCUGUUGGGCACGCUUAGUUGUAUAUUUAUGUUUGUAUGUAGAAGCAAUGAUUGGACUAGGGGUCCUCAUCGGAUUACCGAAUUAGUCAAACUCCGAAAUGCCAAUACUUAUCUUAGGAAGUCAGACUGCGAGUGAUAGUCCGUAAUCAAAAGGGAAACGCCCAGACCGCCAGCUAAGGUCCGGAAAAGAUGUGGAGUUUGCUUAGACAACUAGGAUGUUGGCUAGAAGCAGCCCAUUUAAAGAGUGCUAUAGCCAUAGUCGAGUGCUCUGCGCCGGAAAAUGUACCGGGGCUUAAAUACCACGAAGCUUGCGGAUUGAUACGAUGGUAUCAGUGGUAGGGGAGCGUUCUAUAGGCAGUGAAGGUCAGACUGCGGAAGGAUGGUGGACGUGUUAGAAGUAGAAUGGUAUGAGUAGCGACGACGGGUGAGAAUCACCGUCCACCGAAUGCCUAAGGUUUCCUGGGAAGGCUCGCUCCGUCAGGGUUAGUAGGAUAGCCUGAGGCGACAGGCGUAGGGUGGACAACAGGUUGAUUUAUGUACAACUCUUUUUCGUUUGAGCAAUGGAGGACGCAGAAGGAUAGAAGAAGCGUGCGAUUGGUUGUUGCAGUCCACGCAGUUUAGGCUGACUAAGUAGGGCAAUCCCUUAUCGUGAAGGCUGAGCUGUGAUGGGAAGCUCCUUAUGGGCGGAAGUCUUUGAUUCCCGCUGCCAAGAAAAGCUUCUACGCGAGAUAAAGGUGCUGUACGCAAACCGACCAGGUUAGGCCGAGGAGAGAAUCCUAGGGUGUGCGAGAGAAUCUGGUUAGGAACUGGCAAAUGACCCGUAACAUUCGGGGAGAAGGGGUGCUUUCUUAACGGAAGCGCAUGAAUAGGGCCACAGCGGCUGUUAACGCAAAAACACAGCUCUCUGCGAAGCCGUAAGGCGAUAGUAUAGGGGGUGAACCUGCCCGGUGCUGAAGGUGUAAGGAGAGGGUUAGCGUAAGGAAGCUAUGAAAAUGAAGCCCAGUAACGGCGGAGUAACUGAUCGGUCUAAGGUGCGAAAUUCCUUGUGGGUGUUCGACCGCACGAAAGGUGUAAGAUUUGGGCCUGUCUCGGGUUAAGUUUCCGACCCGCCACGAAAGGGUUGUAACGAUUUGGGCCACUGUCUCAACCAGAAUAGUACCUGUGAAGAUGCAGGUUACCCGCGACAGACGGAAAGACCCCGUGGAGCUUUAUUUACCUUGAUAUAAUUUUGGUACAGUUUGUACAGGAUAGGCGGGAAAAAAAAAGGCCCAUUUUGGGGGGAAACCCGGAAGGAAAAGCGCUAAGCUUCGUGGAGGCGCUGUGGGAUACCGCCCUGACGUAUUGAAAUCUAACCUACGGGUUUAAUCGACCGGGAGGACAGGUCAGGUGGGCAGUUGACUGGGCGGUCGCCUCCUAAAGUGUAACGGAGGCGCCCAAAAGUUCCCUCAAGAGAAUGCGUUGGAGUCAUUCGUGAGUGCAAAGGAUAAGGGAGCUUGCUGCGAGACCUACAAAGUCGAGCAGGGACGAAAGUUCGGCUUAGUGAUCCGGUGUUCCGCAUGAAGCCACGGGCCAACGGAUUAAAAAAGCUAUGCUCGCGUGAGUGUGAGGAGCGAUGGCUUAUGCGGCGCUCUCUCUAUAUCUAUCGACGGGAGUUCUGGCCACCCGAUGUCGGCUCAUCGCAUCCCUGGGCUGUGCCGUCCCAAUGGUUGGGCUGUUUGCCCAAUUUAAAUCGGUACGCGAGCUGGUGGUUAGAACGUCGUGUGAACAAGUGUCUAGGUCCCCUAUUCCGUCGUCGGGCGUAGGAAAUUGAGAGGAGCUUCCUUAGUACGUAGAGGACCGGGAAUGCGACGCACCGCUGGUGGUUGUACAGUGUUCCCAAGGGCCAUAGCUGGUUUGGUAGCUAUGUCGAAGGGAUAAGUGCUGAAAGCAUCUAAGCAUGAAGCCCCCCCAAGAUGAGGAUAUUCCCAUAUGCGUAACUAGUAAGAGCCCUGAAAGAUGAUCAGUUAAUAGGUUCGAGGUGAAGCAUGUGACAUUGGGAGCUGACGAUUACUUAAUAUUAGAUCGGGAACUCUUAACCAUA
rnacentral:rRNA from 1 species